GACGGAGGGGGCUAGCGUUGUUCGGAAUGACUGGGCGUAAAGAGCGCGUAGGCGGCUUUUUAAGUGAGGCGUGAAAGCCCUGGGCUUAACCCAGGAGGUGCGUUUCAUACUGGAAAGCUUGAGUACGAGAGAGGAAAGUGGAAUUCCUAGUGUAGAGGUGAAAUUCGUAGAUAUUAGGAAGAACACCAGUGGCGAAGGCGACUUUCUGGCUCGUAACUGACGCUGAGGCGCGAAAGCGUGGGGAGCAAACAGG
rnacentral:rRNA from 1 species